CGUAACGAUUUGGGCGCUGUCUCAACCAUGGACCCGGUGAAAUUGCACUAGUCGUGAAGAUGCGACUUACCCGCGGAAGGACGGAAAGACCCCGUGAACCUUUACUGCAGCUUGACAUUGGCUGCCGGUUCGUCGUGUAGAGGAUAGGUGGGAGACGCUGAACCAGGGACGCCAGUCUCUGGGGAGUCGCCCUUGGAAUACCACCCUCGACGUUCUGGCAUCCUAACCCGCGACCGUCACCCGGCGUGGGGACCGUGUCAGGUGGGUAGUUUGACUGGGGCGGUCGCCUCCUAAAGAGUAACGGAGGCGCACGUAAGGUCUGCUCAGGACGGUCGGCAACCGUCCCUUUGAGUGCAAGAGCAUAAGCAGGCUUGACUGCGAGACGGACAGGUCGAGCAGAUGGGAAACCAGGUUCUAGUGAUCCGGCGGCUCAGCGUGGUAUGGCCGUCGCUCAACGGAUAAAAGGUACUCCGGGGAUAACAGGCUGAUCUUCCCCAAGAGUCCACAUCGACGGGAAGGUUUGGCACCUCGAUGUCGGCUCAUCGCAUCCUGGGGCUGGAGCAGGUCCCAAGGGUAUGGCUGUUCGCCAUUUAAAGCGGUACGCGAGCUGGGUUCAGAACGUCGUGAGACAGUUCGGUCCCUAUCCUCCGUGGGCGUAGGAGAACUGAGGGAGGCUGCCCCUAGUACGAGAGGACCGGGGUGGACGGACCUCCGGUGUACGGGUUGUCGACCAACGGCACCGCCCGGUAGCUGAGUCCGGUUCGGAUAACCGCUGAAAGCAUCUAAGCGGGAAGCCAGUCCCGAGAUGAGUUCUCCCUUCGGUAAGGCCACUCGUAGACUACGAGUUCGAUAGGCCGCAGAUGUAAGCCCCGCGAGGGGUUGAGUCGAGCGGUACUAAUCGGCCGAGCUCUUCUCUUC
rnacentral:rRNA from 1 species